UGGGGAAUUUUGGACAAUGGGCGAAAGCCUGAUCCAGCAAUGCCGCGUGUGUGAAGAAGGCCUUCGGGUUGUAAAGCACUUUUGUCCGGAAAGAAAUCCUUGGCUCUAAUACAGUCGGGGGAUGACGGUACCGGAAGAAUAAGCACCGGCUAACUACGUGCCAGCAGCCGCGGUAAUACGUAGGGUGCAAGCGUUAAUCGGAAUUACUGGGCGUAAAGCGUGCGCAGGCGGUUUGCUAAGACCGAUGUGAAAUCCCCGGGCUCAACCUGGGAACUGCAUUGGUGACUGGCAGGCUAGAGUAUGGCAGAGGGGGGUAGAAUUCCACGUGUAGCAGUGAAAUGCGUAGAGAUGUGGAGGAAUACCGAUGGCGAAGGCAGCCCCCUGGGCCAAUACUGACGCUCAUGCACGAAAGCGUGGGGGAGCAAACAGGAUUAGAUACCCCUGGUAGUCCACGCCCUAAACGAUGUCAACUAGUUGUUGGGGAUUCAUUUCCUUAGUAACGUAGCUAACGCGUGAAGUUGACCGCCUGGGGAGUACGGUCGCAAGAUUAAAACUCAAUGAAUUGACGGGGUCAUAGCUGUUUCCU
rnacentral:rRNA from 1 species